UGAAGAUGUAUGCCCGGGGGCGGCACAUCUUGCAGAUGGCAAGGCCUGUGAGGCCGGCACCACUGCCAAGUUCUAGGACAGUCCUGGCGGGAGGAAAGGGGACCGUGUCUUCGACUGCACCAGGGUAAGCCUGCCUUGGUGCCCUGCCCUGUGCCCCGAGGUCACCUGUUAGUGAAGGCUGCUGGGUUCUCGAUGGCCCAUUCUGCAAGGCAGAGGGUGGCGUCCCAUGUGACCAGGCCUGUGGUACCGUGAGAGAUGAUGGCUGUGCUCUCGGAGAUUGUGACCGAGCCUCCCGAGGGCUGCACCAAGAGAGGGCGAGAGAGUCAGUCCAGCGAUCAGAAGGCAAGUGGCUUAGAAGACAAGUAGCCAUCCACCACAUGGCUGAAUAAACCAUGACAGGACCAAUCGCCACUCAGCAAUGAGAAGCAGCUAACUGUUGACAUACCAACAGCUUUCACGGGCCUCAAGAUUGUCACGUGGCAUGAAAGACACUCAUCUCAGGCCACACAGGAUUCCAUUCAUCGAACAUUCCUGAGACAACGGAAUUCUGGCGAUGGAGCACAGGUGUGAAAGCCUCAGCGCAUGAGCCAAUUCUGUGCAGUGCUCGACAUACAGAUGAGAACACUGAGGCACGAGGCACAGCCUGUGAUCUGGCCACCGCGCUCAGGAGGAGGUGGUUACCCGCGGGCCUGAGGGCGCUGACUUUUUAGAAUGGGCGAGUGCAGCUGUGUCCCAGUGUCCCAGUGACCAGAACGAUUACUGCCUUUUAAAAGUCGUGAAAAGGAUCGUGAACUGUACCCCACACCGAGCGCGCGUCUGCCCCCCAAGGCGGUGGAGACACCCCCAGCUUCCGCCGCCAGCUCGCGGGGCAGAAGGGGUGCGAGCGACUCUGGCCAGGCCCCAGGGACGGAACCGGGUCUGGCGGCCCUGACCGGGGAGAGCCCAGGAACUCACGUAGCCGGAGCGCCGGGGGUUUCAG
rnacentral:lncRNA from 1 species